GACGAACGCUGGCGGCGUGCUUAACACAUGCAAGUCGAACGGAGUGGCGAACGGAUGAGUAACACGCGGGUGACCUGCCCUGCACUUCGGGAUAAGCCUGGGAAACUGGGUCUAAUACCGGAUAGUGUGGGAUGGGCCCGCGGCCUAUGAGCUUGUUGGUGGGGUAAUGGCCUACCAAGGCGGCGCCGGGUAGCCGGCCUGAGAGGGUGGACGGCCAAAUUGGGACUGAGACAGUGCUCAGAGUCGUACGGGAGGCAGCAGGGGGGAAUGUUGGACAGUGGGCGGAGGCCGGAUGCAGCGACGCCGCGUGGGGGAUGACGGGCUUCGGGUUGUAAACUCCUUGCACCAUAGACGCGGUGGAUGGAGAAGAAGCACCGGCUAACUACGUGCCAGCAGCCGCGGUAAUUC
rnacentral:rRNA from 1 species